rnacentral:tRNA from 1 species
GUCCCCGUAGCUUAUAAACCAAAGCAUGGCCUUGAAGAUGCCAAGAAGGUUGCCCACCACACCCCGGAGACA